rnacentral:lncRNA from 1 species
CGGAGCGGCUGAGCAUGGAGCUGGGCCGGAGGGAGUCCCGCUGCAGCGGGCUGCGGCUGGCGCUGCGCUGCAGGUGACGCGGGGACAGGGGGACAAGGGGACAGGGAUGGGGACAGGGAUGGGGACAGGGAUGGGGACAGUCCCCCUGAGCCCCUCGUUCCCCAGCGAGCGCUGCAGGGAGGCCUACGCCGCCCUCCUGGACCUGGUGCGGGCAAAGGUGGCACCGGAGGGAACCGCAGCGGAACCGAGCCCGGGACACGCACCGGGACCCGACCCUGCCACACCGGAGCCGGGACCCGGCCCCGCCACACCGGAGCCCGCGGAGCCGGACAGCCGUGAGGACCCCGCGGACAGCCCCGGGGCUCACAGCUCCCGGGAGAUGGAGGAGGGAGCUCUGCGGGAACUCAUCCGGCGGCUCCGCGCCGAGCAGGCGGCGGUGGAGGGGUCCCUGCUGGACGCCCCCGAGCCCUCGGAGCCCCCCCGGGAGCGGGACCCCCGAGGCCGGGCGGAGCGGGCGCUGCGGGAAGCGCGGGCGCUGCUGCCCGGCUGGAGGCGGCCCGAGAAGGAGGAGCUGCUGCAGGAGCUGGCCGUGCUCAAGGUGGGCUUGGGAUCCCUCCCUGGGUCCUUUCCUGGAUCCCUCCCUGGAUCCCUCCCUUGAUCCUUUCCCGGCUCCCUCCCUUGAC